rnacentral:rRNA from 1 species
AGUGAACGCUGGCGGUAGGCCUAACACAUGCAAGUCGAACGGCAGCACAGUAAGAGCUUGCUCUUACGGGUGGCGAGUGGCGGACGGGUGAGGAAUACAUCGGAAUCUACUUUUUCGUGGGGGAUAACGUAGGGAAACUUACGCUAAUACCGCAUACGACCUACGGGUGAAAGCAGGGGAUCUUCGGACCUUGCGCGAUUGGAUGAGCCGAUGUCGGAUUAGCUAGUUGGCGGGGUAAAGGCCCACCAAGGCGACGAUCCGUAGCUGGUCUGAGAGGAUGAUCAGCCACACUGGAACUGAGACACGGUCCAGACUCCUACGGGAGGCAGCAGUGGGGAAUAUUGGACAAUGGGCGCAGGCCUGAUCCAGCCAUACCGCGUGGGUGAAGAAGGCCUUCGGGUUGUAAAGCCCUUUUGUUGGGAAAGAAAAGCAGCAGGUUAAUACCCCGCUGUUCUGACGGUACCCAAAGAAUAAGCACCGGCUAACUUCGUG